rnacentral:antisense_RNA from 1 species
CUUGAUCGAGCCCAGGCGCAGCGGUUCGCCCUCACGGUCACGGCCGUAGGUGGCGAUCAGCGCCUGCGCCUC